GAAUGUGAUGAAUAGUUUUGUCGCCCCAGUCUAACUUGCAUCUGUUGAUGUAAUAUGGUGAUGGACAUUUUUUCAAUAUCUGAUUC
rfam:Daucus carota subsp. sativus cultivar DH1 chromosome 8, whole genome shotgun sequence.